UACGGAGGAUGCAAGCGUUAUCCGGAAUUAUUGGGCGUAAAGCGUCCGCAGGUGGUUUAUCAAGUCUGCUGUCAAAGCGCGAGGCUUAACUUCGUAAAGGCAGUGGAAACUGAUAGACUGGAGUGCGGUAGGGGCAGAGGGAAUUCCCAGUGUAGCGGUGAAAUGCGUAGAUAUUGGGAAGAACACCGGUGGCGAAAGCGGGUCUCUGGGCCGAUACUGACGCUGAGGAGCGAAAGUGUGGGGAGCGAACAGG
rnacentral:rRNA from 1 species